AAUAUUGGACAAUGGGGGCAACCCUGAUCCAGCCAUGCCGCGUGUGUGAAGAAGGUCAUCGGAUUGUCAAGCACUUUAAGUGGGGAGGAAGGGCUUAAGGUUAAUACCCUGAAGUUUUGAUGUUACCAACAGAAUAAGCACCGGCUAACUCUGUGCCAGCAGCCGCGGUAAUACAGAGGGUGCAAGCGUUAAUCGGAAUUACGGGGCGUAAAGCGCGAGUAGGUGUUUCAGUAAGAUGGGUGUGAAAUCCCCGUGCUUAACCUGGAAACUGCUUUAUUAACUGCUGAGCUAGAGUACGGUAGAGGGUAGUGAAAUUACCUGUGUAGCGGUGAAAUGCGUAGAUAUAGGAAGGAACACCAGUGGCGAAGGCGACUACCUGGACUGAUACUGACACUGAGGUGCGAAAGCGUGGGGAGCAAACA
rnacentral:rRNA from 1 species